CACGUAGGGUGCAAGCGUUGUCCGGAAUUAUUGGGCGUAAAGGGCUCGUAGGCGGUCCGUCACGUCGGGAGUGAAAACUCGGGGCUCAACCCCGAGCCUGCUUUCGAUACGGGCGGACUAGAGGUAGGUAGGGGAGAACGGAAUUCCUGGUGUAGCGGUGGAAUGCGCAGAUAUCAGGAGGAACACCGGUGGCGAAGGCGGUUCUCUGGGCCUUACCUGACGCUGAGGAGCGAAAGCGUGGGUAGCAAACAGG
rnacentral:rRNA from 1 species